UUUUGAUUUUAGCUCCACUGAUAUAAAAACCAGGAGAUAACAGAACUGGAGUUAUGGAAUCUAUACAAGACGGCAAUGGUCCAGGGACUCUCAUCUGUAUAUAUACACAACACACACUCAUUGGGGAUAUACAGCCGGAGCCCCCUAGAUAACCUGGGCCUCUUACAGGUGUAUUUGGCUGUAACCCCGUGAUCACUGCCCUGGAGGGUAUAUGAGGGUUAAUUUAUAAAACUGCUUUUAUUGUUUGGAGUGUUCCUUUAUGUGACAAACUCCCCUUUUCCUGUGAGUUUGCCACAAGUUUUUAGAGGAGCUUGUUUGCCAGCCACUUGCCCCAGGACUAUGGCCAAUGGAUUAGACCUGGCUUCAGCACUGUGGACAGGCUUUGUUCAUGCCUUUUCACCUCUGGGGUUCGGUAUAUGGGGCUACCGAAUGGAUUAUAUUUAUGGUGUUCGUUUACUGAACAAACAACCGAACAAUCGGACCACACACAAUUGGAGUGUGCAGCCCAUUUACCCCCCAGGCUGGGAGUUUCACAAGCGCUUAAUUGACGAACGGCUGGGUGGUCA